GCCUUCGAGGUGUAAUGGUCAGCACACUGAGCCAGUAUUUCAGAGGUCCGCGGUUCGAUUCCCGGCGAAGGCG
rnacentral:tRNA from 1 species